GCCUGUAGUGAUAUUAGGCAGCCUCCGCUGCAGCCGGAGACCAGUCUGCUUCUAAUUACACUUCAUUUGUAGUUAGGUCUGUAAAAGUCAGUGUCAAAAACGCAAACUACUGAACUUUAGAAGAAUUCUAAUGAUAAGUUACAGAAAUGGAAUGGUGCAUUAAAAUAACAGGGUAUAGAAGAUGUGUCGUUCCUUAUUUGCAAAUGGCUGUUCAAGAAAAUGUGGUAAU